rnacentral:rRNA from 1 species
GACAGAGGUCCCGAGCGUUAGGCGGAAUCACUGGGCUUAAAGCGUGUGUAGGCGGAUUUGUAAGUACCUUGUGAAAUCCCACAGCUUAACUGUGGAACUGCUUGGUAUACUGCUUAUCUUGGGCCACUUAGGGGUUACCGGAACAAACGGUGGAGCGGUGAAAUGCGUAGAUAUCGUUUGGAACGCCAAUGGUGAAAACAGGCGACUGGGGCUGUGCUGACGCUGAGACACGAAAGCCAGGGGAGCGAACGGG